GGGCUUGUACCGGUUUCGACGGGGGUCUUGAAGCUUUAGAAGCCAUCUGUGGCGGAAUCCACAUUAAAAGUCCAAAACCUAAAUAUAAACGCUAACGAUAGAGUAGCACUCGCUGCCUAAGGGCAACGUGUCGGCCUUGAUGCACCUACACAUUAAGAAUCCGGCAUCGAACAUGUAGGAAACGACUUAUGCAAAGCUUUGAGCAUAAGGGCGUAACAUGAAGCUACCCAAAGUCACUCUCCUGUUUAUCGGGUCUGGCCGCGGGGAAUAAAUAAAGAUAAACUAUGAUGGUAGAAACUGGAGUGAACGGGCUUUCGGACAUGGGUUCAACUCCCAUCAGGUCCAUCC
rnacentral:tmRNA from 1 species